AACGAACGCUGGCAGCAUGCCUAACACAUGCAAGUCGAACGAGACCUUCGGGUCUAGUGGCGCACGGGUGCGUAACGCGUGGGAACCUGCCCUUAGGUUCGGAAUAACUCCCCGAAAGGGGUGCUAAUACCGGAUAAUGUCUUCGGACCAAAGAUUUAUCGCCUUUGGAUGGGCCCGCGUUGGAUUAGCUAGUUGGUAGGGUAAAAGCCUACCAAGGCGACGAUCCAUAGCUGGUCUGAGAGGAUGAUCAGCCACACUGGGACUGAGACACGGCCCAGACUCCUACGGGAGGCAGCAGUGGGGAAUAUUGGACAAUGGGCGAAAGCCUGAUCCAGCAAUGCCGCGUGAGUGAUGAAGGCCUUAGGGUUGUAAAGCUCCUUUACCCGGGAUGAUAAUGACAGUACCGGGAGAAUAAGCUCCGGCUAACUCCGUG
rnacentral:rRNA from 1 species